UACAUGGGGUGCAAACGUUGCUCGGAAUUAUUGGGCGUAAAGCGCACGUAGGCGGUUCGUUAAGUCGGAUGUGAAAGCCCUCGGCUCAACUGAGGAAGUGCACCCGAAACUGGCGAGCUUGAGUACGAAAGAGGAUCGCGGAAUUCCCGGUGUAGAGGUGAAAUUCGUAGAUAUCGGGAGGAACACCGGUGGCGAAGGCGGCGACCUGGGUAGAUACUGACGCUGAGGUGCGAAAGCGUGGGGAGCAAACAGG
rnacentral:rRNA from 1 species